CGAUUAAAGCCUGACGCAGCGACGCCGCGUGAGGGAUGACGGCCUUCGGGUUGUAAACCUCUUUCAGCUCCGACGAAGCCUUCGGGUGACGGUAGGGGCAGAAGAAGCACCGGCCAACUACGUGCCAGCAGCCGCGGUAAUACGUAGGGUGCAAGCGUUGUCCGGAAUUAUUGGGCGUAAAGAGCUCGUAGGCGGUUUGUCGCGUCGACUGUGAAAACUCAGGGGCUCAACUCCGAGCUUGCAGUUGAUACGGGCAGACUAGAGUUCGGCAGGGGAGACUGGAAUUCCUGGUGUAGCGGUGAAAUGCGCAGAUAUCAGGAGGAACACCGGUGGCGAAGGCGGGUCUCUGGGCCGAUACUGACGCUGAGGAGCGAAAGCGUGGGGAGCGAACAGGAUUAGAUACCCUGGUAGUCCACGCCGUAAACGUUGGGCGCUAGGUGUGGGGUCCCUUCCACGGGUUCCGUGCCGCAGCUAACGCAUUAAGCGCCCCGCCUGGGGAGUACGGAAUCUAG
rnacentral:rRNA from 1 species